GACGAACGCUGGCGGCGUGCUUAACACAUGCAAGUCGAACGGAAAGGCCCUGCUUUUGUGGGGUGCUCGAGUGGCGAACGGGUGAGUAACACGUGAGUAACCUGCCCUUGACUUUGGGAUAACUUCAGGAAACUGGGGCUAAUACCGGAUAGGAGCUCCUGCUGCAUGGUGGGGGUUGGAAAGUUUCGGCGGUUGGGGCUGGACUAGCGGCUUAUCAGCUGGUUGGUGGGGUAGUGGCUUACCAAGGCUUUGACGGGUAGCCGGCCUGGGAGGGUGACCGGCCACAUUGGGCCUGAGAUACGGCCCAGAAUCCUACGGGAGGCAGCAGUGGGGAAUAUUGCACAAUGGGCGGACGCCUGUUGCAGCAACGCCGCGUUCGGGAUGACGGCCUUCGGGUUGUAAACCGCUUUCGCCUGUGACGAAGCGUGAGUGACGGUAAUGGGUAAAGAAGCACCGGCUAACUACGUG
rnacentral:rRNA from 1 species